rnacentral:rRNA from 1 species
GAUGAACGCUGGCGGCGUGCCUAAUACAUGCAAGUCGAGCGAACGGACGAGAAGCUUGCUCCUCUGAUGUUAGCGGCGGACGGGUGAGUAACACGUGGAUAACCUACCUAUAAGACUGGGAUAACUUCGGGAAACCGGAGCUAAUACCGGAUAAUAUUUUGAACCGCAUGGUUCAAUAGUGAAAGACGGUUUUGCUGUCACUUAUAGAUGGAUCCGCGCUGCAUUAGCUAGUUGGUAAGGUAACGGCUUACCAAGGCAACGAUGCAUAGCCGACCUGAGAGGGUGAUCGGCCACACUGGAACUGAGACGCGGUCCAGACUCCUACGGGAGGCAGCAGUAGGGAAUCUUCCGCAAUGGGCGAAAGCCUGACGGAGCAACGCCGCGUGAGUGAUGAAGGUCUUCGGAUCGUAAAACUCUGUUAUUAGGGAAGAACAUAUGUGUAAGUAACUGUGCACGUCUUGACGGUACCUAAUCAGAAAGCCACGGCUAACUACGUG